AAAUGCACAGGCUGUGAACUCGAUGAGUAGGGCGGGACACGUGACAUCCUGUCUGAAUAUGGGGGGACCAUCCUCCAAGGCUAAAUACUCCUGACUGACCGAUAGUGAACCAGUACCGUGAGGGAAAGGCGAAAAGAACCCCGGCGAGGGGAGUGAAAUAGAACCUGAAACCGUGUACGUACAAGCAGUGGGAGCACCUUCGUGGUGUGACUGCGUACCUUUUGUAUAAUGGGUCAGCGACUUAUAUUUUGUAGCAAGGUUAACCGAAUAGGGGAGCCGUAGGGAAACCGAGUCUUAACUGGGCGUCUAGUUGCAAGGUAUAGACCCGAAACCCGGUGAUCUAGCCAUGGGCAGGUUGAAGGUUGGGUAACACUAACUGGAGGACCGAACCGACUAAUGUUGAAAAAUUAGCGGAUGACUUGUGGCUGGGGGUGAAAGGCCAAUCAAACCGGGAGAUAGCUGGUUCUCCCCGAAAGCUAUUUAGGUAGCGCCUCGUGAACUCAUCUUCGGGGGUAGAGCACUGUUUCGGCUAGGGGGCCAUCCCGGCUUACCAAACCGAUGCAAACUCCGAAUACCGAAGAAUGUUAUCACGGGAGACACACGGCGGGUGCUAACGUCCGUCGUGAAGAGGGAAACAACCCAGACCGCCAGCUAAGGUCCCAAAGUCAUGGUUAAGUGGGAAACGAUGUGGGAAGGCACAGACAGCCAGGAUGUUGGCUUAGAAGCAGCCAUCAUUUAAAGAAAGCGUAAUAGCUCACUGGUCGAGUCGGCCUGCGCGGAAGAUGUAACGGGGCUAAACCAUGCACCGAAGCUGCGGCAGCGACGUUUAGGCGUUGUUGGGUAGGGGAGCGUUCUGUAAGCCGUUGAAGGUGACCUG
rnacentral:rRNA from 1 species